GGAAAGGUUGUUUGGAAGCAAAAGAAAAAGACAAACCAGAAAUAUGUUUCAUAUUUGCAAAUGAAGUAUGGGCAAGUCUUAUGUGCCAAAUGUAAUUCAUGUCAGUUGUAAUAACAUUAUUACAGAUAGAACUUGUAUAUGUGAGGGCAAGAGAACAACCUUGUUAUCAGACAAAAUGUCAUCAUUACAAGAAGUAAGCACAGAACAAGCAGAAGAGAGGAACAAUUAAUAGAGGAAGAAGGGGAAGGAGGAACCCAGGCCAGUUUAUAUAGGCCAGCAGCUUCUCUACCAAGAUCCAGAGGCCUCCUCAGAGAAGGGUCCUGUAUCAUGUGGAGGAAGCAUGAAUGUUCAGUGAAUAAAAUUACACAAUGUAACUGCUUCACUAACUUGUGGACAGAAAUCAAGUUGUGUUUUAAAAGAAGGGACAAGCAGCACAGUUUCAGUGAAUAAAACUACACAAUGUAACUGCUUCACUAACUUGUGAACAGAAAUCAAGUUAUGUUUAAAAGAAGGGACAAGCAGCACAUUAUGAAGAGUGAUGAACUGAUUUAGUGCAAAAGAACCUGUGCAUGUUACUUUCACUUUAUAGCCAUUAGGAAGAGUGACAAGAUAGGGCACAGUUAAAGGUGUUAUGUUAGAAAGUAACUGUUUAUCAUGUGUCAUAUGAUUAGAUGCACCUGAAUCUAUGAUCCAGGUGACAGAAUNNNNNNNNNNNNNNNNNNNNAGCCAUUAGGAAGAGUGACAAGAUAGGGCACAGUUAAAGGUGUUAUGUUAGAAAGUAACUGUUUAUCAUGUGUCAUAUGAUUAGAUGCACCUGAAUCUAUUGAUCCAGGUGACAGAAUUAAUAUGGGUAAGCAUGCAGAGUUUGGAUUCAGAAAUAGGGCUCUCAGUUAGCAUAGUACCAGCAAAGUUAGCAGCAUACAUGG
rnacentral:lncRNA from 1 species